GACGAACGCUGGCGGCGUGCUUAACACAUGCAAGUCGAACGGAAAGGCCCUGCUUGCAGGGUACUCGAGUGGCGAACGGGUGAGUAACACGUGGGUGAUCUGCCCUGCACUUCGGGAUAAGCCUGGGAAACUGGGUCUAAUACCGGAUAGGAGCCAUUUUUAGUGUGAUGGUUGGAAAGUUUUUUCGGUGUAGGAUGAGCUCGCGGCCUAUCAGCUUGUUGGUGGGGUAAUGGCCUACCAAGGCGGCGACGGGUAGCCGGCCUGAGAGGGUGGACGGCCACAUUGGGACUGAGAUACGGCCCAGACUCCUACGGGAGGCAGCAGUGGGGAAUAUUGCACAAUGGGCGAAAGCCUGAUGCAGCGACGCCGCGUGGGGAUGACGGCCUUCGGGUUGUAAACUCCUUUCGCUAGGGACGAAGCUUUUGUGACGGUACCUAGAUAAGAAGCACCGGCUAACUACGUG
rnacentral:rRNA from 1 species